ensembl:lncRNA
CAUCAGAGCGUGCAUUGCACUUGGCUGUGUGCACGGUGCUUGCAGGUGAAAGUUUUGCAUGUGUGCGCAUGCAUAUGGCAGUGUGCAAGGCUGGAACAGCGCUCGUGUCGUCGUGCACGUGGGUGUGCAAAGGGAUGGAGUGCACGCAUGUGUGUGUAUGCAUGAACACGGGAGAGUGCAUCAAGGUCUUUGCACAAGGCCUUUUGUUUUAUCACACUUUUGCGUGCACAUGGAUGGAGUGCGCACACAGGGCUGUGCAAGGAUGCGAUUCCACGUGUGUGUGAAUGCACAGGUGUGUGUGCAGGGAAAUCUUUGCACUUGGGUGUAUGGUUCUGCACACAUCCCUGCACACAGAUGCGCG